rnacentral:rRNA from 1 species
GUGAGGAAUAUUGGUCAAUGGGCGGGAGCCUGAACCAGCCAAGUCGCGUGAAGGAAGAAGGAUCUAUGGUUCGUAAACUUCUUUUGCAGGGGAACAAAGUGCAGGACGUGUCCUGUUUUGUAUGUACCCUGAGAAUAAGGAUCGGCUAACUCCGUGCCAGCAGCCGCGGUAAUACGGAGGAUCCGAGCGUUAUCCGGAUUUAUUGGGUUUAAAGGGUGCGUAGGUGGUUUGAUAAGUCAGCGGUGAAAGUUUGCAGCUUAACUGUAAAAAUGCCGUUGAAACUGUCGGACUUGAGUGUAAAUGAGGUAGGCGGAAUGCGUGGUGUAGCGGUGAAAUGCAUAGAUAUCACGCAGAACUCCGAUUGCGAAGGCAGCUUACUAAGCUACAACUGACACUGAAGCACGAAAGCGUGGGGAUCAAACAGGAUUAGAAACCCGUGUAGUCC